GGGUUGUGAGGUUAAGCGACUAAGCGUACACGGUGGAUGCCCGGCAGUCAGAGGCGAUGAAGGACGUGCUAAUCUGCGAAAAGCGUCGGUAAGGUGAUAUGAACCGUUAUAACCGGCGAUGUCCGAAUGGGGAAACCCAGUGCAAUUCGUUGCACUAUCGUUAACUGAAUACAUAGGUUAACGAGGCGAACCGGGGAACUGAAACAUCUAAGUACCCCGAGGAAAAGAAAUCAACCGAGAUUCCCCCAGUAGCGGCGAGCGAACGGGGAGCAGCCCAGAGUCUGAAUCAGCUUGUGUGUUAGUGGAACGGUCUGGAAAGUCCGACGGUACAGGGUGAUAGUCCCGUACACCAAAAUGCACAGGUUGUGAACUCGAAGAGUAGGGCGGGACACGUGGUAUCCUGUCUGAAUAUGGGGACCAUCCUCCAAGGCUAAAUACUCCUGACUGACCGAUAGUGAACCAGUACCGUGAGGGAAAGGCGAAAAGAACCCCGGCGAGGGAGUGAAAAGAACCUGAAACCGUGUACGUACAAGCAGUGGGAGCACCUUCGGGUGUGACUGCGUACCUUUGUAUAAUGGGUCAGCGACUUAUAUUCUGUAGCAAGGUUAACCGUAUAGGGAGCCGCAGGAAACCGAGUCUUAACUGGGCGUUAAGUUGCAGGGUAUAGACCCGAAACCCGGUGAUCUAGCCAUGGGCAGGUUGAAGGUUGGGUAACACUAACUGGAGGACCGAACCGACUAAUGUUGAAAAAUUAGCGGAUGACUUGUGGCUGGGGGUGAAAGGCCAAUCAAACCGGGAGAUAGCUGGUUCUCCCCGAAAGCUAUUUAGGUAGCGCCUCGUGAAUUCAUCUUCGGGGGUAGAGCACUGUUUCGGCUAGGGGGUCAUCCCGACUUACCAACCCGAUGCAAACUACGAAUACCGAAGAAUGUUAUCACGGGAGACACACGGCGGGUGCUAACGUCCGUCGUGAAGAGGGAAACAACCCAGACCGCCAGCUAAGGUCCCAAAGUCAUGGUUAAGUGGGAAACGAUGUGGGAAGGCACAGACAGCCAGGAUGUUGGCUUAGAAGCAGCCAUCAUUUAAAGAAAGCGUAAUAGCUCACUGGUCGAGUCGGCCUGCGCGGAAGAUGUAACGGGGCUAAACCAUGCACCGAAGCUGCGGCAGCGACACUAUGUGUUGUUGGGUAGGGGAGCGUUCUGUAAGCCUGCGAAGGUGACCUGUGAGGGUUGCUGGAGGUAUCAGAAGUGCGAAUGCUGACAUAAGUAACGAUAAAGCGGGUGAAAAGCCCGCUCGCCGGAAGACCAAGGGUUCCUGUCCAACGUUAAUCGGGGCAGGGUGAGUCGACCCCUAAGGCGAGGCCGAAAGGCGUAGUCGAUGGGAAACAGGUUAAUAUUCCUGUACUUGGUGUUACUGCGAAGGGGACGGAGAAGGCUAUGUUAGCCGGGCGACGGUUGUCCCGGUUUAAGCAUGUAGGCUGGUUGUCCAGGCAAAUCCGGAUAAUCAAGGCUGAGGUGUGAUGACGAGGCACUACGGUGCUGAAGUAACAAAUGCCCUGCUUCCAGGAAAAGCCUCUAAGCAUCAGGUAACAUCAAAUCGUACCCCAAACCGACACAGGUGGUCAGGUAGAGAAUACCAAGGCGCUUGAGAGAACUCGGGUGAAGGAACUAGGCAAAAUGGUGCCGUAACUUCGGGAGAAGGCACGCUGGUGUGUAGGUGAAGUCCCUGCGGAUGGAGCUGAGACCAGUCGAAGAUACCAGCUGGCUGCAACUGUUUAUUAAAAACACAGCACUGUGCAAACACGAAAGUGGACGUAUACGGUGUGACGCCUGCCCGGUGCCGGAAGGUUAAUUGAUGGGGUUAUCCGUAAGGAGAAGCUCUUGAUCGAAGCCCGGUAAACGGCGGCCGUAACUAUAACGGUCCUAAGGUAGCGAAAUUCCUUGUCGGGUAAGUUCCGACCUGCACGAAUGGCGUAAUGAUGGCGGUCUCCACCCGAGACUCAGUGAAAUUGAACUCGCUGUGAAGAUGCAGUGUACCCGCGGCAAGACGGAAAGACCCCGUGAACCUUUACUAUAGCUUGACACUGAACAUUGAGCCUUGAUGUGUAGGAUAGGUGGGAGGCUUUGAAGCGUGGACGCCAGUCUGCGUGGAGCCAACCUUGAAAUACCACCCUUUAAUGUUUGAUGUUCUAACGUUGGCCCUUACCGGGGUUGCGGACAGUGUCUGGUGGGUAGUUUGACUGGGGCGGUCUCCUCCCAAAGCGUAACGGAGGAGCACGAAGGUUAGCUAAUCUGGUCGGACAUCAGGAGGUUAGUGCAAUGGCAUAAGCUAGCUUGACUGCGAGCGUGACGGCGCGAGCAGGUGCGAAAGCAGGUCAUAGUGAUCCGGUGGUUCUGAAUGGAAGGGCCAUCGCUCAACGGAUAAAAGGUACUCGGGGAUAACAGGCUGAUACCGCCCAAGAGUUCAUAUCGACGGCGGUGUUUGGCACCUCGAUGUCGGCUCAUCACAUCCUGGGGCUGAAGUAGGUCCCAAGGGUAUGGCUGUUCGCCAUUUAAAGUGGUACGCGAGCUGGGUUUAGAACGUCGUGAGACAGUUCGGUCCCUAUCUGCCGUGGGCGCUGGAGAAUUGAGGGGCUGCUCCUAGUACGAGAGGACCGGAGUGGACGCAUCACUGGUGUUCGGGUUGUCAUGCCAAUGGCACUGCCCGGUAGCUAAAUGCGGAAGAGAUAAGUGCUGAAAGCAUCUAAGCACGAAACUUGCCCCGAGAUGAGUUCUCCCUGAGACUUUAAGUCUCCUGAAGGAACGUUAAAGACGAUGACGUUGAUAGGCCGGGUGUGUAAGCGCAGCGAUGCGUUGAGCUAACCGGUACUAAUGAACCGUGAGGCUUAACCUUACAACGCCGAAG
rnacentral:rRNA from 1 species